UGCGUGUGCGAACCGUGCGUGUGGAUUGCUUGUGGAGACUGGAUGUUCGAACUACUGGGCGUGCAGACUGUGUAUGCCGACCGCGUGUGCGAACCGGGGUGGUGGGAUACAUGAACCACUGCAGUCUCCAGUGAAGCGAGCGACAGAAUUCGAGGGCGGGGUGAUGAGAUGUCGUUCUUGGCCCCGUUUUAAAGGCACACGUUCUUCCGGGGCUAACUUCACUUUACCAAAGCCCCAUCCGUAUCAGAAACGGAAAGCCUGAGGGUGGAGGUGAGAGACCGGGAAUACUGAUGGUGUCUGACAUCGUACAACGCAGACAGUUAUAUUGAAAGUAUACAGCACAGAGACGGAAGGUAUCCGUCUCAUUUUACAACACGGAGAAUCGACAUACUGAAGGUCACUGUUCUGGGUUGAGUGAAGUUGCAGCCAGACAGCAUACACGUGGGUCAUAUAGUCUCUGCUUCAAUCCUCAUGGUGGUAGGACAGAGGUUGUCAAGCGUUGGUGAGGAUGUUGCAUUUCCAUAGAGAACAUCCUGAAUCUUCUCUUCUGUCCACCCAGUAAUCUUACCCCCGACCAAGUUCAGAGCCAAGUGGGAACUCAGCAGGUCAGGCAACAAGUCUCAGUACAGCGUCUACCUCGGGAAUCUUCACUGAUGAGUGAUGCAGUUGAUGUGUUGCCCUGGAAGAAGGUGGUGACGUUGGCUCGCACUCUGACAUGAAUCAGGUGGAUUUUGUGCCCAUAAUGUUGUUGGAGUCUCACUAGUACAUUGAGCUGUCACUGCUAGUCCGGAUCUCCAGUGCACAUAGGAGGAGCAGGGAUCAGUGCUGCCUGAUAGCCUAGGAUGUUGUGCUUGGA